rnacentral:pre_miRNA from 10 species
CCGGCUCUCACCCGGUGGUGUUAAUAUCUUGCUGGGGCCUCCAGAAUGUUUUGCCCAGGGGUGUUAGAGAAAACGCCACACUUUGAGAUGAAUUAAGAGUCCCUUAUUAG